rnacentral:rRNA from 1 species
GGGGAAUAUUGCGCAAUGGGGGAACCCUGACGCAGCAAUACCGCGGGGGUGAAGAAGGGUUUCGGAUCGGAAAGCUCUGUUAAUGGGGGAGGAAAAAAGACGGUACCCAAGAAAAAAGUCCCCGCUAACCUCGUGGCCAGCAGCCGCGGUAAUACGUAGGGGACAAGCGUUGUCCGGAUUUACUGGGCGUAAAGGGCACGCAGGCGGUUUUUUAAGUCAGAUGUGAAAGGUACCGGCUCAACCGGUGACAUGCAUUUGAAACUGAAAGACUUGAGUAUUGGAGAGGCAAGUGGAAUUCCUAGUGUAGCGGUGAAAUGCGUAGAUAUUAGGAGGAACACCGGUGGCGAAGGCGGCUUGCUGGACAAAUACUGACGCUGAGGUGCGAAAGCGUGGGGAGCAAACA